UGGAUGACACCGGAUGGAGGAC
rnacentral:piRNA from 1 species